ACAUACGACCAUAGUUUCAAGACUAUAGCGCUUCCCGUUCGCUCAGCGGUACUCAAGCUUGUAAACGGCGGAUUAGUAGUCAGGUGGGUGACCACUGGCGAAUCCCCGCUGUUGUAUGUU
rnacentral:rRNA from 1 species